rnacentral:rRNA from 1 species
GUGGGGAAUAUUGGACAAUGGGCGAAAGCCUGAUCCAGCCAUGCCGCGUGUGUGAAGAAGGUCUUCGGAUUGUAAAGCACUUUUAGUUGGGAGGAAGGGCAGUAAGUUAAUACCUUGCUGUUUUGACGUUACCGACAGAAUAAGCACCGGCUAACUUCGUGCCAGCAGCCGCGGUAAUACGAAGGGUGCAAGCGUUAAUCGGAAUUACUGGGCGUAAAGCGCGCGUAGGUGGUUCAGCAAGUUGAAGGUGAAAUCCCCGGGCUCAACCUGGGAACUGCCUCCAAAACUACUGAGCUAGAGUACGGUAGAGGGUAGUGGAAUUUCCUGUGUAGCGGUGAAAUGCGUAGAUAUAGGAAGGAACACCAGUGGCGAAGGCGACUACCUGGACUGAUACUGACACUGAGGUGCGAAAGCGUGGGGAGCAAACAGGAUUAGAUACCCGGGUAGUCC